rnacentral:rRNA from 1 species
GAUGAACGCUAGCGGGAGGCUUAACACAUGCAAGUCGAGCGGGAAGGGUAGCAAUACCCUGAGAGCGGCGCACGGGUGCGUAACGCGUAUGUAACCUGCCUUAUACAGGGGGAUAGGCCCAUGGAAACGUGGAUUAACACCCCAUAGGACUGGAAUUUCGCAUGGGAAUUCAGUUAAAAAUUACGGUGGUAUAAGAUGGGCAUGCGUCUGAUUAGGUAGUUGGUAGGGUAACGGCCUACCAAGCCGACGAUCAGUAGGGGUUCUGAGAGGAUUACCCCCCACACUGGUACUGAGACACGGACCAGACUCCUACGGGAGGCAGCAGUGAGGAAUAUUGGUCAAUGGGCGCAAGCCUGAUCCAGCCAUCCCGCAUGAAGGAUUAAGGCCCUAUGGGUUGUAAACUUC